CCUACGGGAGGCAGCAGUGAGGAAUAUUGGUCAAUGGACGAGAGUCUGAACCAGCAAAGUAGCGUGAAGGAUGACUGCCCUAUGGGUUGUAAACUUCUUUUAUAAAGGAAUAAAACGAGGCACGUGUGCCUUUUUGCAUGUACUUUAUGAAUAAGGAUCGGCUAACUCCGUGCCAGCAGCCGCGGUAAUACGGAGGAUCCGAGCGUUAUCCGGAUUUAUUGGGUUUAAAGGGAGCGUAGAUGGGUUGUUAAGUCAGUUGUGAAAGUUUGCGGCUCAACCGUAAAAUUGCAAUUGAUACUGGCAGUCGUGAGUACAGUUGAGGUAGGCGGAAUUCGUGGUGUAGCGGUGAAAUGCUUAGAUAUCACGAAGAACCCCGAUUGCGAAGGCAGCUUACUAAACUGUGACUGACAUUGAUGCUCGAAAGUGUGGGUAUCAAACAGGAUUAGAUACCCCUGUAGUC
rnacentral:rRNA from 1 species